UACGGCGGGUGCAAGCGUUAAUCGGAAUUACUGGGCGUAAAGCGUGCGCAGGCGGUUUGUUAAGUCUGUUGUGAAAUCCCCGAGCUCAACUUGGGAAUUGCAAUGGAUACUGGCAGGCUGGAGUAUGGUAGAGGAAGGUGGAAUUCCCGGUGUAGCAGUGAAAUGCGUAGAGAUCGGGAGGAACACCAGUGGCGAAGGCGGCCUUCUGGACCAAUACUGACGCUGAGGCGCGAAAGCGUGGGGAGCAAACAGG
rnacentral:rRNA from 1 species